CAUUACUGAAGUAUCAUAAUGAGUUGUUGCUGUUAUCUCGUGCACGCUCGUUAUUCUUCAUUUCCCCAUCAUUUGUGCAUCACUUGUGUGGAUCCUUUGUCCGAGUUCAUCUCAGACGAUUGGGACUGCUUUGCAAAGUUUAACUAUUUGCGGGGCUUUCCUUGUAUCUACAUGUAUUUUUCACAUACACCAAAUAUCAGAAGGAAAAAUAAAUUUGAAUUGUUAUACAACUUUCAGCAACGGAUCUCUUGGCUCUCGCAUCGAUGAAGAACGCAGCGAAAUGCGAUAAGUAAUGUGAAUUGCAGAAUUCAGUGAAUCAUCGAAUCUUUGAACGCAUCUUGCGCUCCUUGGUAUUCUGAGGAGCAUGCCUGUUUGAGUGUCAUUUUAAUAUCUCAACCACAUGCAAUGUGGCUUGGACUUGGAGGAAUGUGCAGGCUUUGACUUCUCGUAGUCUGCUCCUCUGAAAAAUAUAAGUGGUACCUAUAUUGGAACUCUGGCUAGGUGUGAUACAUAUCUGCAUCUAAUCGAGGUUACCUAUGGUUAUGCUGCUGAUUAUUAUGACUUUGAUAAACUUGACCUCAAAUCAGGUAGGACCACCCGCUGAACUUAAGCAUAUCAAUAAGCGGAGGAAAAGAAACUAACAAGGAUUCCCUUAGUAACUGCGAGUGAAGAGGGAAAAGCUCAAAUUUGUAAUCUGGCAGCCUUUGGCCGUCCGAGUUGUAAUCUAGAGAAGUGCUACCUGCGCUGGACCAUGUACAAGUCUCCUGGAAUGGAGCAUCAUAGAGGGUGAGAAUCCCGUCUUUGACAUGGACUGCCAGAGCUUUAUAGGUGCGCUCUCAAAGAGUCGAGUUGUUUGGGAAUGCAGCUCAAAAUGGGUGGUAAAUGCCAUCUAAAGCUAAAUAUUGGCGAGAGACCGAUAGCGAACAAGUACCGUGAGGGAAAGAUGAAAAGAACUUUGGAAAGAGAGUUAAACAGUACGUGAAAUUGCUGAAAGGGAAACGCUUGAAGUCAGUCGCAUCAGUUGGAAAUCAACCUCGCUUUUGCUCGGUGUACUUUCCGUCUGAUGGGUCAGCAUCAAUUUUGAUCGCUGGAUAAAGUUCUUGGGAACGUGGCAUCUUUGGAUGUGUUAUAGCCCUUGGACAUAUACAGUGGUUGGGAUUGAGGAACUCAGCA
rnacentral:rRNA from 2 species